GAUGAACGCUGGCGGGGUGCCUAAUACAUGCAAGUCGAGCGAACAGAUGAGGAGCUUGCUCCUCUGACGUUAGCGGCGGACGGGUGAGUAACACGUGGAUAACCUACCUAUAAGACUGGGAUAACUUCGGGAAACCGGAGCUAAUACCGGAUAAUAUAUUGAACCGCAUGGUUCAAUAGUGAAAGACGGUUUUGCUGUCACUUAUAGAUGGAUCCGCGCCGCAUUAGCUAGUUGGUAAGGUAACGGCUUACCAAGGCAACGAUGCGUAGCCGACCUGAGAGGGUGAUCGGCCACACUGGAACUGAGACACGGUCCAGACUCCUACGGGAGGCAGCAGUAGGGAAUCUUCCGCAAUGGGCGAAAGCUUGACGGAGCAACGCCGCGUGAGUGAUGAAGGUCUUCGGAUCGUAAAACUCUGUUAUUAGGGAAGAACAAAUGUGUAAGUAACUAUGCACGUCUUGACGGUACCUAAUCAGAAAGCCACGGCUAACUACGUG
rnacentral:rRNA from 1 species